ACAUCCAGAGACUUAGCAGAGAUGCUUUGGUGCCUUCGGGAACUCUGAGACGAGUGGCUGCAUGGCUGUCGUCAGCUCGUGUUGUGAAAUGUUGGGUUAAGUCCCGCAACGAGCGCAACCCUUAUCCUUUGUUGCCAGCGAUUCGGUCGGGAACUCAAAGGAGACUGCCGGUGAUAAACCGGAGGAAGGUGGGGAUGACGUCAAGUCAUCAUGGCCCUUACGAGUAGGGCUACACACGUGCUACAAUGGCGCAUACAAAGAGAAGCGACCUCGCGAGAGCAAGCGGACCUCAUAAAGUGCGUCGUAGUCCGGAUCGGAGUCUGCAACUCGACUCCGUGAAGUCGGAAUCGCUAGUAAUCGUGGAUCAGAAUGCCACGGUGAAUACGUUCCCGGGCCUUGUACACACCGCCCGUCACACCAUGGGAGUGGGUUGCAAAAGAAGUAGGUAGCUUAACCUUCGGGAGGGCGCUUACCACUUUGUGAUUCAUGACUGGGGUGAAGUCGUAACAAGGUAGGCGUAGAUGA
rnacentral:rRNA from 1 species